CCCUUAGAUGUCCUGGGCCGCACGCGCGUUACACUGAUGCAUUCAACGAGCAUAUAACCUUGGCCGAGAGGCCUGGGUAAUCUUGUUAACAUGCAUCGUGAUAGGGAUAGAUUAUUGCAAUUAUUAAUCUUGAACGAGGAAUUCCUAGUAAACGCAGAUCAUCAAUCUGCAUUGAUUACGUCCCUGCCCUUUGUACACACCGCCCGUCGCACCUACCGAUUGGAUGGUCCGGUGAAGCCUCGGGAUUGUGGUUCUUGCCGCUUUAUUGUGGCGUGACCGCGAGAACUUGUCUAAACCUUAUCAUCUAGAGGAAGGUGAAGUCGUAACA
rnacentral:rRNA from 1 species